UAUGUUGUCUCAGUCUGGUGG
rnacentral:siRNA from 1 species